rnacentral:rRNA from 1 species
AGAGUUUGAUCAUGGCUCAGAAUGAACGCUGGCGGCGUGCCUAACACAUGCAAGUUGAGCGGUAAGGCCCCUUCGGGGGUACACGAGCAGCGAACGGGUGAGUAUCGCGUGGGUAACCUACCCAGAGAUGGGGGAUAGCCUCGGGAAACCGGGGGUAAUACCGCAUAUGGUUUCGACGACGGAAGUCGACGAGAGCAAAGGCGGGGAUCCUUCGGGACCUGUCGUCUUUGGAUGGGCCCGCGUCCGAUUAGCUUGUUGGUGAGGUAAUGGCUCACCAAGGCUUCGAUCGGUAGCCGGCCUGAGAGGGUGAACGGCCACAUUGGGACUGAGACACGGCCCAGACUCCUACGGGAGGCAGCAGUGGGGAAUAUUGGGCAAUGGGGGAAACCCUGACCUAGCGACGCCGCGUGGAGGAUGACGGCCUUCGGGUUGUAAACUCCUGUCAGGUGGGAAG